AUAUUCCCUCUUCGAUUUAUGGAACUAUAACUUCAGCGCACAAAAUAACGUGCUCAGGUCUAUUACUUCCCCUCCACACCUUUUCUAUCUAGGGUGUACUCUUUUUCUUUCUUUUUUUUGACAUAAACAAGCUGGAAAGUGAAACUCUUAUGUGAUGCUUCCUGAUAUCGAGAUCAUGGGCCUCGCGAUGACGUAGUUGCCAUGUCGCCUCCUCGCCUAGCUGCAUUCGUCCCUCACCCAGCCACUUCCCCUCUCUUGUCUUGCUCGUCACGAAUGUCAUCCUCGCCGUGGCGCACACAAUUGUUGUAGCAGCUGUCGAACAGUCUCGGUUCCUCAUCCCUGGCUGGGUUUUGUUUGGAUCGCGCAGCAGCAACAUGGCAACUACGUCAUCGCGAGGCGAAGCAUCCAGUUCAUCUCCACCGCGAAAAACACUGUGGUGAGCUUGGCUCUCAUCUGUUCCUUCUCGCAGAUGAGGUCACACCUAGGUCUCGAAGGGGAUGCGAAACCAGAAACAGUGCCAGAGGAGACCGUACUUGUAGUUGUCGACAUCUUGCGCCGUUCCACAGCGCUCCGCGUAUUAGAGGAUGGGAAGAAAGUUGGUAGGUCUAAGGAGUUGUUGAAGCCAGAUGAGGUUAUAGAGCAAGUGGACUCUAGGACAGUUGCUGCAUCACCGCUUCCUUACAAUGUAAAACUGGAGGAAGUCGAAUCUUUUUUUGCUCAGUGUAGCAAGGUUGCUCUAGAGAGUGCUAGGAUCCAAACAGCCAUCAAUGACGUGAUACUCUAUCUUUUUGACAAGUUCUUUGAGAUGCAGAGAGGUGACAUAAUAAGGGCACUUAACAGUUAACAUGUAUAAAAGAGAAAUUGAGCAGGAACCGAUGAUGAUCUUCCAGUAUCACGUGAGAACAGAGAGGCAUGAAUGCAACAGACGCUGGUAAUGGAAGAGAUACCGUUGGGCUUGCUUCUAAUGGAUGAGGUUCAUGUUGCACAUGUUCAGAAAAGUCAUCAGCAUUACUAAAUCUUACUGCAAGCUUGGUCUUACUGGUAUGUUCCCAUCAUAUAAUCAUGCAUGAUCUCAUUAUUUGCCUUAGUGUAUUAUAAAUUAAUUAUGCUAAUAUUAUGGCAUCUACCCUUGUGAGAAAGGACAAAUGUAUUACUAAUCUGAAUUUUCUAAUUGGGCCAGAACUGUAUGAAGCGAAUUGGUUGGAUUUAGUCAAAAGUGGAUUUAUUGUAAAUGUGCAGUGUGUAGAAGUAUGGUGUCAUAUGACCAAAGAGUUCUUUGUUGAGUAUCUGAAAAAAUAAAAUUCAAAGAAAAAGAGGAUGAAUCUGUGCUUGCUGAUAAUUUCUUUGCAAUAACUGUAUAUGUAAUGAAACUACACAAUCCAAUGCUUUUUGGUGCCACAAGGUGACUUUACAUCUGUGUAGGUGUUACCUAUUUUCUUCUAAUUCUGCCAUAAGGUCACAUCCCUUUGAAGUUGUUGGUUUAUCGUAUAAUUUAGUAUACGUGCUUUUUCUUUUGGAAACAUUCAGACAUGGUUCCACUAUAAUGAUCAUUUAGUCAACUUCUACAUUAGGUGUUAAUGUUGAUAAGUAGAGCAAUACAUUUUUAUGUAGAUGAGAUCCAUGUCUGCU